CGGUAAACAGAGGGAAGGCGAAGCGGUGACGUGGAGCGAAUCCCAAAAAUAAACGUCCCAGUUCGGAUUGUAGUCUGCAACCCGACUACAUGAAGCUGGAAUCGCUAGUAAUCGCGGAUCAGAAUGCCGCGGUGAAUACGUUCCCGGGUCUUGUACACACCGCCCGUCACACCAUGGGAGUCGGAAAUGCCCGAAGUCUGUGACCUAACCGUAAGGAAGGAGCAGCCGAAGGCAGGUCGGAUGACUGGGGUGAAGUCGUAACAAGGUAAC
rnacentral:rRNA from 1 species